UACGGAGGGUGCAAGCGUUGUUCGGAAUUACUGGGCUUAAAGCGCACGUAGGCGGUGCGGCAAGUGGUGGGUGAAAUCCCACGGCUUACCCGUGGAACUGCCCAGCAGACUGCGGUGCUAGAGUAUGGUAGGGGAGAGCGGAACUCCUGGUGGAGCGGUGAAAUGCGUAGAUAUCAGGAGGAACACCGGUGGCGAAGGCGCCUCUCUGGUCCAUUUCUGACGCUGAUGUGCGAAAGCUAGGGGAGCAAACGGG
rnacentral:rRNA from 1 species